rnacentral:rRNA from 1 species
CAGUCGCCGCGGGAAUACGAAGGGGGCUAGCGUUGUUCGGAAUUACUGGGCGUAAAGCGCACGUAGGCGGAUUUUUAAGUCAGGGGUGAAAUCCCGAGGCUCAACCUCGGAACUGCCUUUGAUACUGGAGAUCUUGAGUUCGGAAGAGGUUGGUGGAACAGCUAGUGUAGAGGUGAAAUUCGUAGAUAUUAGCUAGAACACCAGUGGCGAAGGCGGCCAACUGGUCCGAUACUGACGCUGAGGUGCGAAAGCGUGGGGAGCAAACAGGAUUAGAUACCCGAGUAGUCCCUGUCUCUUAUAC